ACAACUAAUGUGGGAAUUCCGCCUGUAAAUUGCGCUAAUGCUAGCGGCCUAUCAUUAGCUGGCGUAGCUAACAGAGUUGCUUUCUACUGGUCUGUCUCAGAUCAUGUGAAAUGCAUUUCAUUGCUGAAGAUUCUGGCUGGGCUUUACCUUUUUAUUUUAUUUCUUUAUUUUUUUAUUACAGCAUAAAGGAAUGUCUGUGUCCGUGGCGCGUUACGCUUUACGCAGGCGUGUCGUGUUUUCUAACUGGAUCAGCACCUUUUUACAAACUGAGACAUGAACGCUCGUUGAAAUCAAGCAUCACUUGUAUAUAAACAGAAAGGAGAGACUAGAGGGGACGUUAUGGGUCGCUCCGACACAAACACAAGCGCUGUUCCCCGCUACAAUGACCCCUUGUAUCUCUGCCAUGCGACACACACACACACACACACACACGCCCACACACACACAUCGGCCCCCAAUCCAAAAUUCACCACGUUUUUCAUUAGCAAUGAAUGUUGACUCUGAUAAGAGAGGCCCUAACAAUGAUGACCCUGUGCCUCUUUUAUUCCUCCUCUCUCCCCUCCUUUUCUUUGCAUUUGUUUCCAUCUCAGGUGAAUUCUAAUCAUGUGAUCACAAACGAGCGCCCCUUUCCCCGUGUUAAAAGAGGAAAAAAUGAACAAAAAGAAGUUUUGUGUAAUGCAAUGGGAGAGAAAAAAAAAAAAAAAGACGGAAUGAAAAUAGUAAAAAAAAAAAAAAAAAAGGCUUGUGUCUUGUUUUGCAUUGCCACUCAACCCUGACACGGAGAGACAGACCCUCCGGGAGGACGGCGGCUUGGCCCGGGGAGCUGCGCUGGGACAGUCCGCCUCGCGGUGCUGUGAACGGGGGGAACCGUCGGAGCGCCGCUCCGGGAGUUUGGUCCAGGACGGAGCUGAGGAUGAGCGGCUCGGCCUCGGUUUGCUUUGCUUACAUCAGAGUGGGUCUGACUCUACCUCUUUGUGUUGGGCUGUCUUCUUCUCUUUCAUGCACCUGUGUGGGACAAAGCAGGGUCGGGUCGUGGGGGGUAGCAGCUUCAGAAGGGAGGCCCAGAC